rnacentral:rRNA from 1 species
UACGUAGGGUGCAAGCGUUAAUCGGAAUUACUGGGCGUAAAGCGUGCGCAGGCGGUUUUGUAAGACAGGCGUGAAAUCCCCGGGCUUAACCUGGGAAUGGCGCUUGUGACUGCAAAGCUGGAGUGCGGCAGAGGGGGAUGGAAUUCCGCGUGUAGCAGUGAAAUGCGUAGAUAUGCGGAGGAACACCGAUGGCGAAGGCAAUCCCCUGGGCCUGCACUGACGCUCAUGCACGAAAGCGUGGGGAGCAAACAGG